rnacentral:rRNA from 1 species
AUACGGAGGGUGCAAGCGUUAUUCGGAAUCACUGGGCGUAAAGGACGCGUAGGCGGGUUGGCAAGUCAGAUGUGAAAUCCUACAGCUUAACUGUAGAGCUGCAUUUGAAACUGCUAACCUAGAGUAUGGGAGGGGGAGAUGGAAUUAGUGGUGUAGGGGUAAAAUCCGUAGAUAUCACUAGGAAUACCGAAAGCGAAGGCGAUCUCCUGGAACAUAACUGACGCUAAGGCGUGAAAGCGUGGGGAGCAAACAGGAUUAGAAACCCUAGUAGUCC